rnacentral:rRNA from 1 species
UACGGGGGGGGCAAGCGUUGUUCGGAAUUACUGGGCGUAAAGGGCUCGUAGGCGGCCAACUAAGUCGGACGUGAAAUCCCCAGGCUCAACCUGGGAACUGCGUCCGAUACUGGAUGGCUUGAAUCCGGGAGAGGGAUGCAGAAUUCCAGGUGUAGCGGUGAAAUGCGUAGAGAUCGGGAGGAACACCAGAGGCGAAGGCGGCGACCUGGACAGAUACUGACGCUGAGGUGCGAAAGCGUGGGGAGCAAACAGG